UUUCCGGACCCGGCCUUUCCAGGGCGAAGCCUACUCCGGCAUUUCCUCGGGUUACCUGGCGCCGGCGUCGGAGCGGAACCCCAGGCGUGGCGUGGGGAGGUCGCUCCGAGCCGCCUCCGGGGCACAGAACACAAUCCCUUUGCCUUGUAGGUGCGUCCGCCUGGGCGCCGUCAAGUAGAAGGGCUGGGUAGGGACUCCGGUUGCAAACUAGUAUAAAUGAAGUUUUCCUUCAUCCUCCUUGAGACUGAUGCUCCCUUUCUAAAAGUACUAAUGCUUCUGAUUCCAUUUUAAAACUCGAGGGAUAGGAUUUUUUCCCCCCUUUCCUCUGUCUGCUACAGAUAACAUUUGCCUAUUUAAGACUCUUACUAAUUUGGUGUUUCUUCCACUCCUCUUUGCCAAAGUAAUUUGCACAGCCUGUUUUUCUGCGUUACCCACAGCUUCUUUGUAUUUAUUCGCAAAUAAAAAUUCAGGAUGCGCAGUUAAAUUUUAAUCUCAGGUUAACAGUGAAUAAUUCUUUAGUAUCUGUAUGUCCCAAAUACUCCAUGAGCCAUGCGCGUAUUUUACCUGGCAACCCACUUCUGUGUCCAGUUGCACAGAAGGGCAGCUAUACUGUUAGUUUUAUGCCCUGUAAAUGAACGGGCUUUCAAGAUUUUCUAGAAGAUAAAAAUCACCUCAUUGAUCUUCAAUUUCUGAUAUAAAAUUGUGAUAAUCCAAAGGACAUAAAGUGAGUCAGCUGUCCAUAGCCCCCUUCUCACUGCAACUUGCAAAUAAAACUGGCCCUGAAUAACUGGCUCUAAAUGCAAGUCAUGGUAGUUUAGAGCCAAGGUAUGAGAGAUCUUCAUAAGUUUUAAGAUAAAAGAAUGUUUCCCAGGACAACAAGAUUUAAUUUAUAAGUAAAGUAAAACCAGAAGAGGGAUUUAUUCAUGCAGCAGAACCUGGAAAAAUGGAGCCACAGAGGCAAACACCAACGUGUUACUCAGAGGAGACAAUGGCCUGGCCCAAAGACUCCAGCAUGGUUGGUGUAACUCUGAGGUAGAUGGACGUAUUCUAAUCAUACACAAACAUACCUUGGAGAUAUUGAGGUUUUGGUUCCAGACCACCAGGAUAAGGGUCCAUUCUGAAAGAGCAGCCCCUAUUUUGCUGUGGCUGAAGGAAAACAGAAGUGGUGGAACCUGGCAAUGUCUCUGAGAACUUCCCUUUGAUUGUGGUAUUUGUCACUUCUGACCCUCGGGCCAGGGAAAGUUUACGCCCAGAGAUCCCUGCACGUCCCAGGACAACUGACAUUUCCACCCAAGUCUUCCUAAUGGCUGAGGAGAACUAAUGUAUUUCUCUGAGAUUUUGAAAAUCAUCUUUGAAGAAUUGAGCAUCAUCUUAAGAAAUAACGAGAUGUUUGCAUUUUGCUUCAGGAAUAUUGAAAUUGGCUUUCUUAUAAAAAUAGUGUUUUUCUUCCCUGAAAAUCCUCAAAGAAAACUGGCAUCCAGGAAACAGCACGUGUUCAGCCACAUCUGUGAUUUUAUAUCCUCAUUGGCACCAGACCAAGCAUCCCGGUGGAGAAUACCACUCCUGUCACUCUGCUCUAAGUUUAAACAUUUUCCAAAUAAAAGUCUGGGAGAAGAAAAGGACAUAAUUUCUCCUUGUGACGUACAGUUCCUAUAUGAUUGAUUAAGUUACCCUAUUAACUGUAUUGCUUAGAUCCUUUGCUUCUUCAGUCAUUUGCUUUUAUUUGAUUUGUUGCACAUUAAUAAAGGGGAGUUAAACUCUACUAUUACAAUGAUAUUGCUAUAUAUCCAUUUCUCCCUGCGUUCACACGUGCUGUUACUUCUGUCUGGAAUGUGCUGGCAUGGUGCCCCCCAUUCUACCCCUCGUCCACCAAAACAAUCCCUACUCAUCUUUUAAAGCCAAGUUACCUCCUUCCUGAAAGAUGAGUGUUAACCAAAGGAAGGGAAUGGAGAGAUGGCAGUGGAUGAGAGAGAAAAAGAGAGAGAAUGAUCUUAAAGAAUG